rnacentral:rRNA from 1 species
UACGUAGGGAGCGAGCGUUGUCCGAAUUUACUGGGCGUAAAGCGCGCGUAGGCGGUCCAUUAAGUGAGAGGUGAAAUUCCAGGGCUCAACCCCGGAACUGCCUCUCAUACUGUUGGUCUUGAGUGAGGUAGAGAGAAGUGGAAUGGCUGGUGUAGCGGUGAAAUGCGUAGAUAUCAGUCGGAACACCGGUGGCGAAGGCGGCUGCUUGGGCCUUUACUGACGCUGAGGCGCGAAAGCCAGGGGAGCGAACGGG